rnacentral:rRNA from 1 species
AACGCUGGCGGCGUGCCUAAUACAUGCAAGUCGAGCGAAUGGAUUGAGAGCUUGCUCUCAAGAAGUUAGCGGCGGACGGGUGAGUAACACGUGGGUAACCUGCCCAUAAGACUGGGAUAACUCCGGGAAACCGGGGCUAAUACCGGAUAACAUUUUGAACUGCAUGGUUCGAAAUUGAAAGGCGGCUUCGGCUGUCACUUAUGGAUGGACCCGCGUCGCAUUAGCUAGUUAGUGAGGUAACGGCUCACCAAGGCAACGAUGCGUAGCCGACCUGAGAGGGUGAUCGGCCACACUGGGACUGAGACACGGCCCAGACUCCUACGGGAGGCAGCAGUAGGGAAUCUUCCGCAAUGGACGAAAGUCUGACGGAGCAACGCCGCGUGAGUGAUGAAGGCUUUCGGGUCGUAAAACUCUGUUGUUAGGGAAGAACAAGUGCUAGUUGAAUAAGCUGGCACCUUGACGGUACCUAACCAGAAAGCCACGGCUAACUACGUGCCAGCAGCCGCGGUAAUACGUAGGUGGCAAGCGUUAUCCGGAAUUAUUGGGCGUAAAGCGCGCGCAGGUGGUUUCUUAAGUCUGAUGUGAAAGCCCACGGCUCAACCGUGGAGGGUCAUUGGAAACUGGGAGACUUGAGUGCAGAAGAGGAAAGUGGAAUUCCAUGUGUAGCGGUGAAAUGCGUAGAGAUAUGGAGGAACACCAGUGGCGAAGGCGACUUUCUGGUCUGUAACUGACACUGAAGGC